CAGCCGCCGCGGUAAUUCGUAGGUCCCGAGCGUUGUCCGGAUUUAUUGGGCGUAAAGGGAGCGCAGGCGGUUUAGUAAGUCUGAAGUUAAAGGCAUUGGCUCAACCAAUGUAUGCUUUGGAAACUGUUAGACUUGAGUGCAGAAGGGGAGAGUGGAAUUCCAUGUGUAGCGGUGAAAUGCGUAGAUAUAUGGAGGAACACCGGUGGCGAAAGCGGCUCUCUGGUCUGUCACUGACGCUGAGGCUCGAAAGCGUGGGUAGCGAACAGGAUUAGAUACCCCUGUAGUCCCUGUCUCUUAUACA
rnacentral:rRNA from 1 species